AGCUCAGUAACACGUGGCCAAACUACCCUGUCGAUCGGGACACCCUCGGGAAACUGAGGCUAAUCCCGAAUACGGCUCGCUGCCUGGAGGUGGCGCGAGCCCGAAACGUUCAGGCGCGACAGGAUGUGGCUGCGGCCGAUUAGGUAGACGGUGGGGUAACGGCCCACCGUGCCGAUAAUCGGUACGGGUUGUGAAAGCAAGAGCCCGGAGACGGAAUCUGAGACAAGAUUCCGGGCCCUACGGGGCGCAGCAGGCGCGAAACCUUUACACUGCACGCGAGUGCGAUAGGGGGACUCCAAGUGCGAGGGCAUACAGUCCUCGCUUUUCACCACCGUAAGGAGGUGGUAGAAUAAGUGCUGGGCAAGACCGGUGCCAGCCGCCGCGGUAAUACCGGCAGCACGAGUGAUGACCGCUAUUAUUGGGCCUAAAGCGUCCGUAGCCGGCCAGGCAAGUCCAUCGGGAAAUCCGCACGCCUAACGUGCGGGCGUCCGGUGGAAACUGCUUGGCUUGGGACCGGAAGAUCCAGAGGGUACGUCUGGGGUAGGAGUGAAAUCCUGUAAUCCUGGACGGACCACCGGUGGCGAAAGCGCUCUGGAAAGACGGAUCCGACGGUGAGGGACGAAAGCUUGGGUCACGAACCGGAUUAGAU
rnacentral:rRNA from 1 species